UUUUUAUAAUUACAGCCCAAAAUCAAUCAGACCUUUUGUCUUCAUCUCUUUACGCCGCUAGGGUUCGUGUUCUUCGAAUAAGCUAACUCUAAGAAAAAUCAGAAGCGUUCCCACACACCUGGUGUUUUGAGGAAUUUUGCUGAAUGAAAUCGAGAUGAAGAAUCUCUUUGUUUAUCUCCACUCGCGUCGUGUACUCUUCUAUUCUACUAAACCGAAGCCGUCCCUUCUGAAGAACAAGAAGUAUUUUUCUCGACAAAUCUGACUCUGCAUUGUCUCGAUCGAUGUUCCAUCCCCUCGCUCCGAUACCGUCGUUUGUUGCAUUCAAAAAUACUCAUUUAGGCUAGCUUUUAACACCACUGACCCACGUCUCCCAGACCUAUAAAUAAGGGUUCUCGGUCUGCUAGAUUCACCAGAUUCUCCUUUUGGCAUCAUUGGAAUCCUUAGAAAAUCUCGCACCAGGAAUGGCUGUCCCAACGAUUUUACUCGCCAACUUCAAAGCUGGAAGCCAUUCCAACACCGUCAGAGUCCGAUUGUUUAGAUUCUGGGAAGUCUGAAACUUUAAGAAAUGCGGCAAACUCAUGGCUUAAGUGUCUCAUGGGUGUCGACAUGCUCCUCAGGUCAAACUUGGAGAGCUAGAAGAUUUUGAAAUCAAUGCUAUUAAUGACAAGCUGCAUCGCUCACAAGCUCCUUCUUGACAAGGCUGGUGAUCUUUUUGCUUCAGCCUUUAAAAGUGUUACCACUCAACAGAGGUAGAUAGAAUCAUAACAAGUGGGUGAAGACGACCUCGAGGCUCUUUCUGUAGGAAGUACGAGACUUGCGACCGUUUUACCUUUUUAAGUUGUGUUUUCUGCAAAUGGCGUACAAGCUGUCCUUCCUAACAUGAGAAUUCUAUUGAUCCAACAAAGCAAGUAAAGCUUGGAUUCGGUACUAGGCUGGAGCCUCGCAAAAAGUCUAUGGUGUUCAAGAGGAUCAUAUUUUGUGCAACUAGGGCAACAUCUUAAUACAACAGUUUUUCAUUGAGGAGUUUGUUGUUGAUCCCAACUCUGGGGAGAAGGUUAACUUCUUAUUUUCUACUCUUAGCUUUUUACACAUUAAAAGUGCAGCCUUUUUCUAUUUGCAGGAGUUUUACUGCUUUCUUAAUGUAUAUUUUUUUCUCCCCAUAGGCUCAUGCAAGUAUAAAUUCUAUAUGUAGUUUAUACGUUCUCAUCUGCAUAUGUUUAUAUUUGAUGUUGGUACUGCCUCCAUGGUUAAUAUAUUUUGUUUUGUUGAUC